rnacentral:rRNA from 1 species
AUACGUAGGUGGCAAGCGUUGUCCGGAAUGACUGGGCGUAAAGGGCGUGUAGGCGGCGGUGUAAGUCUGGAGUGAAAGUCCCGCAUUCAAUGUGGGAAUUGCUUUGGAUACUGCAGUGCUAGAGUGCGGAAGAGGUAAGUGGAAUUCCCAGUGUAGCGGUGAAAUGCGUAGAGAUUGGGAGGAACACCAGUGGCGAAGGCGACUUACUGGGCCGUAACUGACGCUGAGGCGCGAAAGCGUGGGGAGCGAACAGGAUUAGAUACCCUGGUAGUCCACGCGGUAAACGAUGAAUGCUAGGUGUUGCGGGUAUCGACCCCUGCAGUGCCGGAGUAAACACAAUAAGCAUUCCGCCUGGGGAGUACGGCCGCAGGGUUGAAACUCAAAGGAAUUGACGGGG